AUUGCUAUAGGGGAAAAGAGAUCUCAGUAUAGAACUGGGCUCAAUUCCAAAUACAGCAUGAACAAGUAGGAAUGUAUAGCCAAGGAGCAGGGUUGAGGUCAGUGGAUGGAAAUUUCUUAAAAGGAAAUAUCAAGGGUUGAAGGCGGGAAUUCUGGCUAAACUGACUUGAGAGGAUUCUGACUGAAGACAGAUCAGGGUGAUCAGAUACCAUGGGUGGGGGCUGAAGAAUUCGAUCAGAUAUUGAGGGUGAUCAGGUAUCCAGGUGAGGCUUCUCUCUAAACUGACUUAGCAGGAUUCUUGCCACAAUUGGUUGAUAUAAGUCCCACAGGUGGAUGCUAAGGUAGAGGCCUCAAGGGCUUAGAGGAGCCUGACUAAAGUUUAGUCAAGGAGAGAGUCAUUGUCAAUACCUAGGAGUGGAAUUGCUGGGUCAUAUGGUAAUUCUGUGCUUGGAUAUUUGAGGAAUUGAUAAACUGCUUUCCACAGUGGCUGAGACAUUUUACAUUCUAAUAGCAAUGUGUGGUGUUUGCAAUUUCUCCACAUCCUCAGUAACACUUGUUUUUUUUGUUAUUGCCAUCCUGGUAGCUGAGUCAGGGGAAGAAGGAAGUCCAAAGAUGGCAUGAACAGACCUGACAUUUGGGGAUUGGCUGGCAUCCUGUGCUAAUUUCUGAGAAGAGCUGUCAGUUCCUGCAAUUUAUGUUAGGUCUCAUGCAAGUCCCUCUCAUUGGUAGACUCUAACCUAUGACCACACAAGGAAGGGGAUUCUGGAAAUGUAGUUCCUGGUUUCUCUUCUGCAAUGCAUAGGAGACCUUUGAAGAAGACCUUCCAGAUGAAAACUCAGCUCAGUUGACACCUUGAUUUCUGCCUUGUGAUACCCUGAGUAGAGGACCCAGUGACACCAUGCCGGAGAUCUGACCUACAGAAUUCUGAGCCAAUUAAUAGGACAAUUGUCGCUGAGCUAACAUCUGUGCCCAUCUUCCUCUAUUUGGUAUGUGGGAUGCUGCCACAGCAUGGCUUGAUGAGCAGUGCAUAGGUCUGCACCCAGCAUCUGAAUCAGCAAACUCCAGGCCACCGAAGUGGAGUGUGCAGACUUAACCACUAUGCAACCAGGUAACUACCUGGGAGCUGAUUUGCUGUGUAUAUGAUAAGUGUAUAUUUACCCUAUAAGAAAGUGCCACACUGUUUUCUAAAGUAAUUGUGCCGUUUUACAUUCUCAUUAGCAAUGUAUAAGAGUUCUAGUUUUUCCAUGUCCCCAUUGACACUGGUAUAAUCUUUGUAAUUUUAGUCAUUCUAGUGAGUGUGUAAUGGUAGCUUGUGGUGAUUUAUUCUACAUUUCUCUAAUGUCUAAUGAUGUUGAACAUCUUUUCAUGUGCUUAUUGGCCAUUUAUUUGCCUUUUAAGUGGUUUUUCCCCAAUCUUUUGUCCUUGUAAAAUAUAUUUAAUAAUAUUAUUAUGAAUUAUGAGUUCUUUAUAUAUCAAGAAUACAUAGUUUGUCACUAAUUUAAAAGUGCUAUUUUUCUGUUCAAUCAAGGUAGACAAAUC
rnacentral:lncRNA from 1 species